AAUUAUUUUCAAAUCGUUGUGAUUUAGUAUCGUUAGAGAAUUAGAGUCUUUCAAGUCCUUUAAGGUGUUUUCUAUGAGUUGAGUUGACGCUAUUAUGCGUACUUUUUGUAUCAUGGUCUAUAGAGAUUAAUAACAAUGUGUUUAUUCCUGAAGGCCUAGGAUCUACCAAGGGCUAGGUUUUUGUUUCACAAAAAAUCUUAAGGCUUUGGUAGCAGCGACAUACUAUUCGAAUAGGCGGAUUGCUGGUUAAACCAGAAACAUAUUUACGUAUGGAAAAGGCGGAAUGCGAUCGCCUUUAUUCAAUCCUUUACGGUUAAUCGCGAAGGAGUGCGGGUUUAAACUUGGUAAAGAAAGGGAUUAUAGUCCUCGUCUUGUAGUUUUAAUAAAUUUAACCAUAACAGCUUUAACAAUUUUAUAUGGUUUCUUUCUUUUUAAUCAUUAAAGAACGACUAGUAUAGAAUAAGUAAAAUCAUUUUAUGUGUUCUAUUAUUAAACAUAUUUAGAGUUAUAUAAUAUCUUUGUUAAACAAUUUCUGAUAAGGAACUCGGCAAAUUUGUUCUACGCCUGUUUACCACAAACAUCUCUUCCUGAGUUUAAUAGGAAGUAGGCCCUGCUAAUUGCUAAUGAUAAAAGCGGAUUUCCUUAAUGUAGCGUGAUAAAUUGGCCUUUAAUUGGGGUCCGGUAUGAAUGGGUUGACGAUAGAAAAGCUGUCUCAUUGGAAUAUAUUGAACUUUUCUUCUCGGUGAAAAGACCGCGCUUCUGUUAAAAGACGAGAAGACCCCGUCGAGCUUGAAUGAAGCUUCCACUAUGGUAACCGAAAUUUUAAUUGGGGCAAUUGCGGAAAAGAUAACCUCCGCUUUUAUGUGAGGAUCCAUUACUUAUGAAUAAAGAAAAAGCUACCGCGGGGAUAACAGCGCAAGAUUGCUUUAGAGGCCUUAUCGACGGCAAUAAUUGCGACCUCGAUGUUGGAUUAAGGUUACUUUUAGGCGCAGAAGCUUAAAUAAGUGGGGCUGUUCGCCCCUUAAAUCCUUACAUGAUCUGAGUUAAGACCGGCGUGAGCUAGGUCGGUUUCAAUCUUUAAACCUCUCCAUCUUAUGUACGAGAGGACCAAGAUGGUAAAGA
rnacentral:rRNA from 1 species